GAUGAAGAACGCAGCAAAAUGCGAUAAGUAAUGUGAAUUGCAGAAUUCAGUGAAUCAUCGAAUCUUUGAACGCACAUUGCGCCCGCUGGUAUUCCGGCGGGCAUGCCUGUUCGAGCGUCAUUUCAACCCUCAAACCCCCCGGGUUUGGUGUUGGGGAUCGGCUCUGCCUCACGGCGGUGCCGCCCCCGAAAUACAUUGGCGGUCUCGCUGCAGCCUCCAUUGCGUAGUAGCUAACACCUCGCAACUGGAACGCGGCGCGGCCAUGCCGUAAAACCCCAACUUCUGAAUGUUGACCUCGGAUCAGGUAGGAAUACCCGCUGAACUUAAGCAUAUCAUAAGCGGAGGA
rnacentral:misc_RNA from 1 species